UGGAAACGACUGCUAAUACCGGAUGUGCCGAGAGGUGAAAGAUUUAUUGCCUGGAGAUGAGCUCGCGUCUGAUUAGCUAGUUGGUGGUGUAAGGGACCACCAAGGCGUCGAUCAGUAGCUGGUCUGAGAGGAUGAUCAGCCACACUGGGACUGAGACACGGCCCAGACUCCUACGGGAGGCAGCAGUGGGGAAUUUUCCGCAAUGGGCGAAAGCCUGACGGAGCAAUACCGCGUGAGGGAGGAAGGCUCUUGGGUCGUAAACCUCUUUUCUCAAGGAAGAAGAAAGUGACGGUACUUGAGGAAUAAGCAUCGGCUAACUCCGUGCCAGCAGCCGCGGUAAUACGGAGGAUGCAAGCGUUAUCCGGAAUGAUUGGGCGUAAAGGGUCUGCAGGUGGAACUGAAAGUCUGCUGUUAAAGAGUUUGGCUUAACCAAAUAAAAGCGGUGGAAACUACAGAACUAGAGUGUGGUAGGGGCAAAAGGAAUUCCUGGUGUAGCGGUGAAAUGCGUAGAUAUCAGGAAGAACACCGGUGGCGAAAGCGUUUUGCUAGACCGUAACUGACACUGAGGGACGAAAGCUAGGGGAGCGAAUGGGAUUAGAUACCCCAGUAGUC
rnacentral:rRNA from 1 species